UACGUAGGGUGCAAGCGUUAAUCGGAAUUAUUGGGCGUAAAGCGCGCGCAGGCGGUCCUUUAAGUCUGAUGUGAAAGCCCACGGCUCAACCGUGGAGGGUCAUUGGAAACUGGGGGACUUGAGUGCAGAAGAGGAAAGCGGAAUUCCACGUGUAGCGGUGAAAUGCGUAGAGAUGUGGAGGAACACCAGUGGCGAAGGCGGCUUUCUGGUCUGUAACUGACGCUGAGGCGCGAAAGCUAGGGGAGCAAACAGG
rnacentral:rRNA from 1 species